UACGAGGGGGGCAAGCUUUGUUCGGAAUUACUGGGCGUAAAGGGCGCGUAGGCGGUGUGUCAAGUCAGGCGUGAAAGCCCCGGGCUCAACCUGGGAACAGCGCUUGAGACUGGCACGCUCGAGUUCGGGAGAGGAUGGUGGAAUUCCCAGUGUAGAGGUGAAAUUCGUAGAUAUUGGGAAGAACACCGGUGGCGAAGGCGGCUCACUGGCUCGUUUCUGACGCUCAGGCGCGACAGCGUGGGGAUCAAACAGG
rnacentral:rRNA from 1 species